rnacentral:lncRNA from 10 species
ACCAAAAAAGAAGUAUAAUCCUGUUGUAGAAGCAAAUCACUUAUCUCCAGGGAAGAAUGUGUUGAUGAUGAAAAAAUUACCAGAAGGACAUAUUAUGCUAAUUAGGAUAAAAAGUACAUAUGGUCUAAUAAGAAAAGGCUUUCCGUAUUUGCAGCCUUGAAAAACACCAACAUAAGAUUUAAAACUGGCAUGUCCUCAACCUUGGCACAAGAAACCUCUAAAAUGAGUGAGAUUUGCCUCAGCCAUCUUCUUCUAUUUACAAAGUCAUUCAGCAGCAUUUGAAGAGCAUUUGGAAAAAAACAGAAGAUCAAUCUAAGUAACACAUGGCUGGGUAACUUCUAUUGAAGCAACAAUCAGAACAUAUAUUACGUGUUAAGAAUUAUGUAUAUUGAUAUGUAAAAAGAGACUCAUUUACAGAAAAGGGAAAUUCUUUUUAAAGAUUAAACUAUAAUCUAAUUUUUAAAAAUUUUCCUAACUCUAUGAUCUUGUACCUCUGAGAAACUACUGGAAUAAAAUAUUACAAAUAUGGCUGAAGCCCUUUGUACACCUAAUUACUUUCCUCACUUACUCCUACCAAAUGCUACUCUGAAUCUGGAGUUUACUAUCCUAUGCAUUUCCUUACAACUUUAUAAUACUGGUGUGUAUAUAUGAGAAAGAUUAGGAAAGAUACAUAUGUUUUUGUAUGUGAGUGAUGGUGGGAGAUUGUUUUGCAUUUAAACCCUAUAUGAAUGGAAU